rnacentral:tRNA from 1 species
GAGGGUAUAGCUCAGUGGUAGAAUGUGUGCCUCACAUGCACAGGGUCCUGGGUUCGGUCCCCAGUACCUUCA